GACGAACGCUGGCGGCGUGCCUAAUACAUGCAAGUCGAGCGGACCAAAGAGAGCUUGCUCUCUGAGGUUAGCGGCGGACGGGUGAGUAACACGUGGGUAACCUGCCUGUAAGACGGGAAUAACUUCGGGAAACCGAAGCUAAUACCGGAUGAUAAAGAGAAACGCCUGUUUCUUUUUUGAAAGUCGGCCUUGUGCUGACGCUUACAGAUGGGCCCGCGGCGCAUUAGUUAGUUGGUGAGGUAACGGCUCACCAAGGCGACGAUGCGUAGCCGACCUGAGAGGGUGAUCGGCCACACUGGGACUGAGACACGGCCCAGACUCCUACGGGAGGCAGCAGUAGGGAAUCUUCGGCAAUGGACGAAAGUCUGACCGAGCAACGCCGCGUGAGCGAUGAAGGCCUUCGGGUCGUAAAGCUCUGUUGUCAGAGAAGAACAAGUACCGGAGUAACUGCCGGUACCUUGACGGUACCUGACCAGAAAGCCACGGCUAACUACGUGCCAGCCGCCGCCGUAAGAC
rnacentral:rRNA from 1 species